ensembl:lncRNA
GGAGAAAAAUAAAUCUCAAAGGGUAAGGAGUGCUGGUGUGGGGUAAUGAGAGAAGAUAUGACUAAAAGAUGAGAUCUGAGUGAUGACAUGGAACAGCUCAGAGUGUGUUCCAUUUGGAUUUCUGGAGGAAGAGUUUCCAGACCCAGGAAGCAGCAUGUGCAAAGGUCCUCAGAUAGGUACAUGCCUGGAGUGUUGGAGGCUGGCAGCAGGAGGUAAAGAGAGGGCACCAGGGGCAUUGCCGAUGGCCCCAGGCUUGGGUGCUUGUCCCCAUGUCUCUCAAGAAGGGACGAGAAAUCCGUCGCCACCUCAGGGAAGAGCCUGGGAGAUGGUUUAGAAAUGUCCCAUCAGACCUGAAGCCUGUGGGUCCAGAAGACACAUUUGAUCGGAUCCAACCUUUGGAAGAUCUGCUUGGAAAUUUCCCACUUCGUGUCCUGAGUCCAGGAACCCAGCAGUGGAAUUUUGUAGUGAGUGGUCCUUUCUUCCACCUGAGGCUCUAUCCCCUGUAUCCAGUCAUUCUCUCAUUGUUUAAGGGUCUAUUCAAGACAAGUUUAUCAGAGCCAACUGCACAUCAGCUAGUUGGGGAAGCCAGAACGGUGACCAAAGCCAAUGAUAUCUGUACCCUCAUGGAAAUAGCGGUGUCAUGGAGGUCAUGGCAGUGCAGAGGUCCUGAGGCAAGAAAGAGUUUGAUGUGUGAAAAGGGCAUGUCUGGACACAUGGGGAAGAGGUGGAGAGGAGUAACUCUUUCAGGACCUCAGAGGUUGUGUUAA